rnacentral:misc_RNA from 1 species
GGAAGUAAACGUCGUAACAAGGUUUCCGUAGGUGAACCUGCGGAAGGAUCAUUAACACUAAUUCAGGCCCGGAGGCUUCGCGCUUCUGGGACUGGAUGGAUCCAUAUCCAUUUAUACCCCUGUGAAUUGUUAGAGUCUUUAUGAAGUGAGCCACAAACAAGCCUGUUUUGAACAGUCUGAACUUUUAAACCGAAGCUAGAAAUGGCCGAGGUUGAAAAUUAACCAAAUACAACUUUCAGCAACGGAUAUCUUGGUUCUC